rnacentral:rRNA from 1 species
AGUGAACGCUGGCGGUAGGCCUAACACAUGCAAGUCGAACGGCAGCACAGAGGAGCUUGCUCCUUGGGUGGCGAGUGGCGGACGGGUGAGGAAUACAUCAGAAUCUACUCUGUCGUGGGGGAUAACGUAGGGAAACUUACGCUAAUACCGCAUACGACCUACGGGUGAAAGCAGGGGACCUUCGGGCCUUGCGCGAUUGAAUGAGCCGAUGUCGGAUUAGCUAGUUGGCGGGGGAAAGGCCCACCAAGGCGACGAUCCGUAGCUGGUCUGAGAGGAUGAUCAGCCACACUGGAACUGAGACACGGUCCAGACUCCUACGGGAGGCAGCAGUGGGGAAUAUUGGACAAUGGGCGCAAGCCUGAUCCAGCCAUACCGCGUGGGUGAAGAAGGCCUUCGGGUUGUAAAGCCCUUUUGUUGGGAAAGAAAUCCAGCUGGCUAAUACCCGGUUGGGAUGACGGUACCCAAAGAAUAAGCACCGGCUAACUUCGUGCCAGCCGCCGCGGUAA